rnacentral:rRNA from 1 species
GACGUAGGGCGCGAGCGUUGUCCGGAUUUAUUGGGCGUAAAGAGCUCGUAGGCGGCUUGUCGCGUCGUUCGUGAAAACUUGGGGCUCAACCCCAAGCUUGCGGUCGAUACGGGCAGGCUAGAGUUCGGUAGGGGAGACUGGAAUUCCUGGUGUAGCGGUGAAAUGCGCAGAUAUCAGGAGGAACACCGGUGGCGAAGGCGGGUCUCUGGGCCAUAACUGACGCUGAGAAGCGAAAGCAUGGGGAGCGAACAGG